rnacentral:lncRNA from 1 species
UUCUACCAUGAUUAAGUAGGCACCGUUGGUGUAGACAUCUUGUAUUAUGUAAGGUUCAUCCCACUUUGAUGUGAACUUUCUUUUUGCCUUAUGAGUUGUGAUGAUAGGCCUUCGUAAUGCCAAGACAAGAUCUCCAGUUUGGAAAGACCUUGGGCGAACCUUCUUAUUGAAUGUCUUGGAUAGUCGUGCUUGGUAGUAUUCCAAGUGUUAUUAAGCUUUGAGCCUCUUUUCGUCGAGUGCAUCACAAAGUUAUUAGUGCUUUUCGCAUUUCCUUGGGCAAUAAUAGUGCUUCCUCGAUAUUAAAGUAUGUUGGCAAGCCUUCUUUGGGUGUGAUGGUCUUUUCUUCCUCGAUUGCGAUAACUUUUCCUUUUGAGAGCUCUUCUAUCUCUACUUCAACCAUGUGACAGGCAAUGGUAGUGCACUGUUAGAAGAAGUCAUCUGAGAAGUACUCGUGCAAGGAGACAAGAAUGCGCUCUUGCUCCAUAGGUUCCCUAUCGUACAUUGGCUUAGCAACUCUUACGAUUCUUUUGGGCUUCCUACUAUUGCAAUAGC